rnacentral:rRNA from 1 species
UACGGAGGGUGCAAGCAUUGAUCGGAAUUACUGGGCGUAAAGGGCGCGUAGGCGGUUUGGAAAGUCAGGUGUGAAAUUCCGGGGCUCAACUCCGGAGCUGCACUUGAAACUUCCAGACUAGAGUACAGUUAGGGAAAACGGAAUUCCACGUGUAGCGGUGAAAUGCGUAGAUAUGUGGAAGAACACCGGUGGUGAAGACGGUUUUCUGGGCUGAAACUGACGCUGAGGCGCGAAAGCAAGGGGAGCAAACAGG